AAUGGCUGGGUUUACAAGAGGUUUUAAUGGCUGGGUUUACAAGAGGUUUUAAUGGCUGGGUUUACAAGAGGUUUUAAUGGCUGGGUUUACAAGAGGUUUUAAUGGCUGGGUUUACAAGAGGUUUUAAUGGCUGGGUUUACAAGAGGUUUUAAUGGCUGGGUUUACAAGAGGUUUUAAUGGCUGGGUUUACAAGAGGUUUUAAUGGCUGGGUUUACAAGAGGUUUUAAUGGCUGGGUUUACAAGAGGUUUUAAUGGCUGGGUUUACAAGAGGUUUUAAUGGCUGGGUUUACAAGAGGUUUUAAUGGCUGGGUUUACAAGAGAUUUUAAUGGUACAUAUCUACUGAAUGUUGCUGUGUUGCGUACCUUGACAUGCUCUCAGGGUAAGGAGUGUUCUGAUAUGGUGCCUUCCC